UCUUCAGAGUCUGGGGUGGUCGCGCAGAUCCUGGACGAGCCCCCAUUUGAAAGAUACCACGCAGAGAGACCCUUACUCAAGUCUUGGGAAAUCGCGGACCCCAGACACAGAGAGACCA
rnacentral:pre_miRNA from 14 species